UGGGCGUUUAGCUCAGUUGGGAGAGCAUCUGCCUUACAAGCAGAGGGUCGGCGGUUCGAGCCCGUCAACGCCCAUC
rnacentral:tRNA from 1 species